CAAAGGCUGGUGGCCUCCCUGUGAUCCCUGCCUCAGUGAUCAAAAGGGAUCACUCAAUUGGAAAACCCAGACUCUCCCUCAAAUUUCCCAUAGGGGAAGGGUGGAGAGGCAGUCUGGCUGCCAUCAGUUUGGCCUUUGCCCUUUCAAACAGGGUUCCAGGCCCAUGGCUGAUGUUCCACCUAUAAUGAACAAUAAUACUUAUGGCUAAAAGCUAUAUGAAGGCCACAAUUAGCCCUAGCAACAAUGUCAUGCAGAUCCUACUGUCAUUUUUAUUUGGAAGGAGGGAAAAUGAGGCUUGGGGAGGUUGUUAAGGUUACAUCUAAAAAGUGAUAGAACCAGUGUUCAAACUGGGAUGAUUUGACUGAACCAGGGUAUGGGACUGCCUCUGGAAUGCUGGGACCUCUUAAAUGGUUCGUGGAAUCCUACCUCCAGCCCCCACCCCCAGGAAGUAUUGCCCCUGUUUUCUUCCUGACUAGAGAAGCAGCUACCCUUGCAUUUAGCAUUCAUUCAUUUAGUUAUAGUAAAAGACCAAGAGCAACACCCCGGAACCACCAGAACCUUGGAGACAAGUUUCUCAAUCCCAUGGCCCAGGGGCUGACAACACUGCCCAACCUGUUGGGGAUCCUGGCUUGGAGGCCUGAGCCCUUCUUCACCCUGGCUAUCAGAAACAGCAGUGGUAGGGAGUCCCUGUGACUUGCUUUGGGGUCACUGCUCCCAGCCAGGGAUCUGCAGCUAAAACAAGGUCAGAGUGGAAGCCCACCUCUUCUGACCAUCCCUCCCUUUCCAGAGGCUCCAGUCACUGUGACCCCACCCAAAAAUGAGUCCAUAAUGUAAGCCACUUACCUUGUAGUGACCACACUUCACUACUCGUGAGACCUUAGUCUUCUGUGGCCAGAGGAAAGAGGGCAAAUUGGCCAGGGAUCUGGCAGAUAAAAGGGACUAAACAGGAAGUUCUGGGGCCAAAUGGGAGCACCACUGUCCUACCCAAUCCAAACAAGGCAGCAGCACCUCUGUUAUGACCCUGAGGGCAGGCAGGAAGCCAGAGCCUCAGGGCUGGGGUCCAGAGCCCUAGGACCAUGGUCCAUAUGCUGCUCCCUUGUUUGGGGACCAGCAGUGAAGCAGUACAUCACAGUAGAAGGGCAUGGCAGAGAAGAGCUGCUCACCUACUGUGACCAGGAAAUUGUGACAAAGAAAGAGGCCACGGACAAAAGAUAACCCUCAAAGAUAUGUGUCCCCACCACACUGCCCAGUGACCUGCCUCCUCUAACCAGGCCUCCCUUCUAAGUCAUCUAUAAACUCCUUGGUGGAUUGAUACACUGAGAAGCUCCAUAUCUUCCAGAAGACUCUGAAACUAACCAGAUUCACUAGACCCCUCCCGACCAGACAGAGGAAACAACACAGACUGAGAGUCUCUCUCAGUCUAAAAGAAGCCUCCAAGGUCAGAGGAGCUAAACUGCAAAGUAGACUUUCAGCCAAGCAAGCUGCAAAGACUGAGACCAGACCAGCUGACUGGAGGAAGCAGAAACCACCCAACUGCCUGGAAGAGGUGUAGAGCAGAGUCACCUAGAAAGGACACUUCAACCUGUUGACCUGUCCGCAGGCUGUGCAGUGUGCUCCAGGUUCCCAGCUUUUGUGAGCUGUCACCAUGCUGGGUGGACCUUGGUGAUGCAGCUGUCUUGAGUCAUCCGUGCUCCUGUGAGUGACCCCUCACCCCCAGUAAAACGAAUUGGUUCACCCAGUUGGACUUCAGAGGUGUCCGUACUUCAGUCUGUUGUGGAUUCCGUAUCUGGAGUGAGCAGAUGCGUGUGUUGCCUCUCUCCAGGAAAAGUUUUGCCAAACAUCACAUGAGGGCACCACCUCUUGGCUCUGGGUGCUGAAACCUGACACAUAAACAUGCAUGACAAGGAGCAGCUUUGUGUGGGAAAGCAUGGAAAACUUCACACUCAUCUUGGGAGUCAGCAUCUGUCUGUGGCUGCAGUGCCUCCAGGAAACACAAGCUGCUCUCCCACAGUUCACCUUGCCACACCUCUCGCCCAGUAGCCCAUCAAAAGUUGCCCUUCUUCUCCAGUAUUUAGAACCCGUGUGUGGGUUUCUCCUGUUCAGACGGCAUCCCAUCCAUGUCUGCUAACAGCAUGCACUCUACUGCUACAAUCUCAGAGCUUAGCCCUAACUUCCCACAGUGGCAGUAAACCAGAGGUUCUCAACCUGUGGGUCACAACCCCUUUGGAGGCCAAAUGACCCACAGGGGUCACACAUCAGAUAUCCUGCACAGCAGAUAUUUACAUUAUGAUUCAUAACUAGCAAAAUUAGAGUUAUGAAGUAGCAACGUAAAUAAUUUUAUGGCGGGGUGUCACUACAACAUGAGGAACUGUACUAAAGGGGUGCAGCAUUAGGAAGGUUGAGAACCACUGCUGUAAACAGAUAGCUACUAAUCCUGCAGAAUGGCAGACAACAAGAGUGCUGGAACGAUAAAGGAAGACAGAUGUCACCCUGAUUUCUCAACUGGAGAAGAAAAAACACAAAACCAGGUGUGAAAAUGAUAGUAAUCCUUGGGAAAAUUUUGGAAUUAAAUUUUAGUGUUGUGGUUUAAAAGCAUUUAUUUAAAAAGCAGGAGCCUGUAGUUUCUUAGAUAAAUUGUAUCGUAUCAACUGUUUGUAACAUGAAAAUUAAAUGACCCAGAGACAGAUAUUGAGGUUCAAGCUGAGGAUCAGGGAAAGGAAAGCAACCGGCUACUAGAAAGGGUGGGGUCACACAUGAGCUCUUCUCCAAGUCUCAGACUGCUGUCUCUCCUCAGUAUGCUGCAACUUUUUCUGGUCCUGUCUUAAAUACCUGGGACUAAAGGUGUGAGCUCUGUUACUCUUUUAGACUGAUUCAAUCUUGUGUAAGCUUGAGUGUCCUUGAACUCAGAGACAUCCGUCUGCCUUUGUCUUCCGAGUCCUGGGAUUAAAGGUGUGUGCCUGGGUUCUGUGGCUUGUGGCUGACUUUGCUUUCUGAAUCCUCAGGUAAGCUUUAAUAAAUUAUAAAGAACAUAUCACCAUAACCAUUGAAACCUGGCCUGUUGAUGACCCCUAACUGAGAAUCCUAGUGAUAGUGGAUACAUAAGCCCAACUGUCCAUCUCCUGUGACCAGAAUUGGUGCCUAGCUCAAUUGUCACCAGAGAGGCUUCAUCCAGCAUCUAAUGGAAACAGAUGUAGACCCACAGCCAAACAUUAGUUGGGAUUCAGGGAAUCCUGUAGGAGAGGGAAAGGAGCCAGAAGGGUCAAGGCCAUCACAAGAAAACCCACAUAAUCAACUAACCAGGGCUCAUGGGGCUCUCAGAGACUGAACAGAUAACCAGGGAACCUGCAUGGGACUGACCUAGGCCCUAAGUAUAUAUGUUACAGUUGUGUAGCUGGGUCCUCUUGUAGGACUCCUAAGAGUGGGAGCAGGGGCUGUCUCUGACUCCCUGGCUUUUGGGAUCCUAUUUCUCAUACUGGGUUGCCUUGCCCAGCCUUAAUGCAAUGGGAGACACUUAGUCUACCUGCAACUUGAUAUGCCACAUUUUGUUGAUAUCCAUGGGAGGCCUGCCCUUUUCUGAAUAGAAAUGGAGGAGGAGUGGAUGAGGGCAGGGCAUAGCAUGACUAAUAAAAACCCAGAAAGAGAUAUAUUGGCGAUGAAGCUACAGAUCUGAGAAGCAAAGCAGCUAAUCUCUAGAGACUUCUCACCUUUGCCGAUGCUUAGACCAAAGGGUUGAUCCUUAGACUGCUCCUGACUAUACUGCUCCUCAGACUGCAAUGAGUUCCUGUCUCUUCCCAGCCAUAACAUUCCUGUCUCUGCCUCCUUAGUGCUGGGAUUAAACGUGUGAGCCCUGUUAUUCUUUUAGGCUGAUUCAUUCUCCUGUAGCCCGGGGCCGCCUUGGGCUCACUGAAAUCAAUGUGGCUUAGUCUCCUGAGACCAGGGAUUAAAAGUGUGUGCCUGCACUGCCCUGUUUCUUUAGCUAACUAGUGUGGCUGGCUUUGCAUUCUGAUCCUUCAGGAAAUCUUUAUUAAAUCAUAAAUAAUAUGUCACUGUGGGGGUGGGGGAUAGGAGUGGUGGUAAGGUUGGAGGAAGGGACUGGGACCAGAGGAGAGAGGGGAAACGGCA
ensembl:lncRNA